CCUACGGGGGGCAGCAGUGGGGAAUAUUGCACAAUGGGGGAAACCCUGAUGCAGCGACGCCGCGUGAGUGAAGAAGUAAUUCGUUACGUAAAGCUCUAUCAGCAGGGAAGAAAUACUGACCUUACGGUCAGCAGACGGUACCUGAGUCAGAAGCCCCGGCUAACUACGUGCCAGCAGCCGCGGUAAUACGUAGGGGGCAAGCGUUAUCCGGAUUUACUGGGUGUAAAGGGGGCGUAGACGGUGCGCCAAGUCUGGAGUGAAAUGCCGCAGCUUAACUGCGGAACUGCUUUGGAAACUGGCGAACUAGAGUGCGGGAGGGGUAAGUGGAAUUCCUAGUGUAGCGGUGAAAUGCGUAGAUAUUAGGAGGAACACCGGUGGCGAAGGCGGCUUACUGGACCGUAACUGACGUUGAGGCUCGAAAGCGUGGGGAGCAAACAGGAUUAGAUACCCGGGUAGUC
rnacentral:rRNA from 1 species